rnacentral:rRNA from 1 species
AUUGAACGCUGGCGGCAGGCUUAACACAUGCAAGUCGAGCGGAGAGAGGUAGCUUGCUACUGAUCUUAGCGGCGGACGGGUGAGUAAUGCUUAGGAAUCUGCCUAUUAGUGGGGGACAACAUUUCGAAAGGAAUGCUAAUACCGCAUACGUCCUACGGGAGAAGGCAGGGGAUCUUCGGACCUUGCGCUAAUAGAUGAGCCUAAGCCGGAUUAGCUAGUUGGUGGGGUAAAGGCCUACCAAGGCGACGAUCUGUAGCGGGUCUGAGAGGAUGAUCCGCCACACUGGGACUGAGACACGGCCCAGACUCCUACGGGAGGCAGCAGUGGGGAAUAUUGGACAAUGGGCGGAAGCCUGAUCCAGCCAUGCCGCGUGUGUGAAGAAGGCCUUAUGGUUGUAAAGCACUUUAAGCGAGGAGGAGGCUACUUUAGUUAAUACCUAGAGAUAGUGGACGUUACUCGCAGAAUAAGCACCGGCUAACUCUGUGCCAGCCGCCGCAGUAACAC